rnacentral:rRNA from 1 species
UACGAAGGGGGCUAGCGUUGUUCGGAAUUACUGGGCGUAAAGCGCACGUAGGCGGAUCUGUAAGUUGGGGGUGAAAUCCCGGGGCUCAACCCCGGAAUUGCCUUCAAGACUGCCGGUCUGGAGGUCAGGAGAGGCGAGCGGAAUAACGAGUGUAGAGGUGAAAUUCGUAGAUAUUCGGUGGAACACCAGUGGCGAAGGCGGCUCGCUGGACUGAUACUGACGCUGAGGUGCGAAAGCGUGGGGAGCAAACAGG